CUACGAUGUUUCCAUUCGCUUCCGGCGCCCAAUUCAGUGCCGAGUGGCUGAGGGGAACUGGGAUCCCGGUGUGGAGGUGUAUAUUGGGUUAGGUUUAGGGGUGAGGUAUCCCGUCGUCGUCACCGUGGCCAAAGAGGUGGUCGCGAGUAGAAUAAGGGAUGGCCGGACUUCUCCCCUUCCAUACGGCGUCAGAUACGGUGCCGGCGAGGUGCCGAAGGCCUUUUGUAUCGCGGAUGACGGAUCCGGUUCACCGGACUCUGUGGCGGUGGUUCUUUUCGUCGGAAGCUGCGCUGGUGAUGGUGGCAGCUCCCGGCGACGUGACGGUUGCUGGGGCUUCAGUCCCUGUUUUGGGGAUGAGGAUGGUAGCAGUUCUUCAUCCUUCGCGUCUCUGGCGAGCUGGAGUCCUGGCGGAGGCAUGGAGCCAUCCAAUCUGUGGGGAUUAUCGGAACCCGACAUUUGUUCCAGUUUUUUACAUGCAGCCUCCAAAGCCCUUUGAAGGCGAUGCAGAUGGAUCAUGGAUGGUUUCUCCAUGGCGGAUCGAGCAGACGGUGAGCGGCCGGCCGGCUUGAUGGCAUCGGAAUGUCAUUACUACAGGGGUCAAAUUAAUUUACCAUGUAUGGACUCCAGUUUGCUCUUGCAAUCAUCUGCCAGAGUUAGGAAACAUCUGCAACCUCGACGCCACCUGGAACAUGUUUCAAUCCCCUCUCUGUGAGUCAACAUUCGUAUUAUGAAUUCCAUCUCCAGCCUGCAUACUAAGUUAAACUAUGAACAUUUUCAGGCAUCUCAAAGAUUGGACAUGUUGUCACUUCUAGGUUCCAGCCAACCAAGUAGUGAGAGCGUUGUUAUUAUCCUUUGAAACACCACUUUAUAGUCCAACUAUCCUUAGCCAUGGGAUCUCAAAUGAUAAUACAUCAACAGUCAGUGUGAUUGAUUCUGACGAUACAAAAAGAAUUCGAACGAGGUACUGCUAAUAGAUGUGCAUACUUAUUUAAUUCCUCGAUGAACGAGGUACUAAUAAUACAUCAACAGUCAGUGUAACUUUCUUUCACAGAAACCCCGGUACAAAAAAUGUAGACUUUACAAAAAAUGUAUGAAAAAAUCAACAUCCUACUAGGUAAAUCCUACCAUUCUUCCAUACAUUUAUAGAAGAAAAUUAAAGUUCAUAUUCUGAUUUGACAUUACCUUCUAUUCCCACUAUUUAACAUCAACAAAAGAAAAAGAAUUUGAUCUUACUCAGAAACUCCUCCGGUGCAAUAGGUAAAAGUUCAUAAUUUGUUUAUUUUCUACAUCAAUUGUAUGCCGCAGCAACGCGCGGGGCAUCAUCUAGUAUCUAUUAACUAUGGACCCAAGGUCUAUGGUGAACUACUCACGCAUCAUCGGAAUGUAGAAGCCCUCCGUGAUCGAUUCCCCCUCCGACAAAGUACAUAAAAAGGUCUCCACAUGGGAUCGUGAAAGAACACAUGCUUGUGGUGAUGGAAAAAGUGUUUCGGGUGGCUCUUUGUUGGUUUGGGAAUAUUUGAGAAUUUAUAGAGGUUGGAUGACAUCAAACGGAGUUGCAUGGGAGUCACGAGCUCAGGGGGCGCCUUGAAGGAAAUA